AGGACGAACGCUGGCGGCGUGCUUAACACAUGCAAGUCGAGCGGAAAGGCCCUUCGGGGUACUCGAGCGGCGAACGGGUGAGUAACACGUGAGCAAUCUGCCCUUAGCUUCGGGAUAGCCCCGGGAAACCGGGAUUAAUACCGAAUACGACCUCGGCCGACAUCGGCCUUGGUGGAAAGUUUUUCGGCUAGGGAUGAACUCGCGGCCUAUCAGCUUGUUGGUGGGGUAAUAGCCUACCAAGGCGACGACGGGUA
rnacentral:rRNA from 1 species